rnacentral:rRNA from 1 species
GAUGAACGCUGGCGGCGUGCUUAACACAUGCAAGUCGAACGGAAAGGCCAGUGCUUGCUCUGGUACUCGAGUGGCGAACGGGUGAGUAACACGUGGGUGACCUGCCCUGUACUUCGGGAUAAGCUUGGGAAACUGGGGCUAAUACCGGAUAGGACAUCCUGUUGGAUGUUGGUGUGGAAAGAUUUUGCGGUGUGGGAUGAGGUCGCGGCUUAUCAGCUUGUUGGUGGGGUAAUGGCGUACCAAGGCGUUGACGGGUAGCCGGCCUGAGAGGGUGUACGGCCACAUUGGGACUGAGAUACGGCCCAGACUCCUACGGGAGGCAGCAGUGGGGAAUAUUGCACAAUGGGCGCAAGCCUGAUGCAGCGACGCCGCGUGCGGGAUGAAGGCCUUCGGGUUGUAAACUCCUUUCGCUAGUGACGAAGCGCAAGUGACGGUACCUGGUGAAGAAGCACCGGCUAACUACGUG